GACCCGUUUUUGAACACGGACCAAGGAGUUUAUCGUGUGCGCGAGUCAUUGGGUGUUCAACACCUAGAGGCGCAAUGAAAGUGAACGUUUCCGUUAGGAGCCAACGUGCGAUCCUGGUCACCACGGUGGCCGGGCGCAGCAUGGCCCCAUCUUGACUGCUUGCAGUGGGGUGGAGGAAGAGCGUACGCGGUGAGACCCGAAAGAUGGUGAACUAUUCCUGAGCAGGAUGAAGCCAGAGGAAACUCUGGUGGAAGUCCGAAGCGAUUCUGACGUGCAAAUCGAUCGUCUGACUUGGGUAUAGGUGCGAAAGACUUAUCGAACCAUCUAGUAGCUGUUUCCUUCCGAA
rnacentral:rRNA from 1 species